rnacentral:rRNA from 1 species
UACGUAGGGUGCAAGCGUUGUCCGGAAUCAUUGGGCGUAAAGAGCGUGUAGGCGGCCCGGUUAGUCCGCUGUGAAAGUCCAGGGCUCAACCCUGGAAUGCCGGUGGAUACUGUCGGGCUAGAGUCCGGAAGGGGCGAGUGGAAUUCCUGGUGUAGCGGUGAAAUGCGCAGAUAUCAGGAGGAACACCAAUGGCGAAGGCAGCUCGCUGGGACGGGACUGACGCUGAGACGCGAAAGCGUGGGGAGCAAACAGG